AUUCAUUUUGCCACCUAGAGAGAAGUGACAGCAUGUCAGAAAAUCAGAUGAUCACACAUCCUAAGGAUUUAGACAUGAAUGGAACAGAAUGCAUGGAUCAAAGAACAGAGAACAAUGGGUAUCCAGACGUCUCAGCAGUCAGAGAAAAAUAAACCAUCCUGCAUGUGAAGAGCUCCUGUGGACCAGGCAAGGGGAAACAUUAAGAGCAUUGUGACCUGUUGCAAGAUGGCACCAUGGUAUAAUGUCAAUCAAAUUUUCAAGUCUGUAGGUCAUAGACUGUACAAGAGUGAAUUUAGUUUUCUGUCAGACAGUAAUGACUGAUGACAAUGUAGCUAUGAAUUAUGCUCUUGAAAAUGUUUUAUCUGUAAAAUUUUCAAAAUUUUGGAGGUUGUGGUUGACUGUGUUACCUCACAUUGAGAAUGUAAGCAUUGCUAAGACAGAAUAGUGUAAGGUUAUUAUUCCUACUUUCCAUGUAUUCAUAAAAGUUCACAGAAUCAUUAAACUAACCGCCAUGUCAGCUAUUUUAUACAAGUAAACACAAUGCUAAUCUCUAAUGAAAUAUUCAUUUUUACCAUAAAUGAUUGUGUAUUAUAUGUGUAUGAGAUGCCAUUUUAUCAUGUAAAGAACAUGUGACUUCCAUCUUUUGCUGUACAGUCAGUGCUUCAUAAUUCUGCAAUAUAUAUACAUAUAUAUAUAUAUAUAUAUAUAUAUAUAUAUAUAUAUAUUGGAAGGUGUAAUUGAAUUCAUUGCAUUUCCUAACUAGGUAUGUCUCUCUUUAGCUCAUUUAUGUGCUUUUAUAGUUUGUGAAAAGUAUUCCAUAAUAAGUUUAGAUAUUAUUAACCCUGUUCUGUAAUCACCAUAGCAUUAGAACUGUGUUUGGAGAUUUAGUAGACACACCUGUUUUAUGGACAAAAAGUGACUAUAAUUUUAUAAUAUAUAUAUAUGUAUUUACAUUGUAUAUCAACUUCUCUUUACACUAAGUCUAAAAUUAUUUACAAAUAAAUAGUUCAGUCUCUUUUGUCAUGAAGAGAGGAUGGCAAGUAGAUGUGAUACUCAAUUUUUUGUUAAGCACAGUGGGUCAUAAAAGAGAAGACUACAGUGUGAGUGAUGUGUGGGAGUUUUGUCCAGUAUGGACGCUGAAGACAAGGACAGACUGAAAAUUUGGCAAGGACAACACAAGGAAGCAUGAAAUUUCAGCACUAUAUUGAGAAAAGUUCAAGCUUAAUUCUAAUCUAAGUUUUUGUAGGAACUUUACAUUUAAUAAAUUUGUAUUUCAAGUGACUGCUUGUAACAAAAUUGUGGACAGUAAACCUAAGAGUAAGAG